AUUGAACGCUGGCGGCAUGCUUUACACAUGCAAGUCGAACGGUAACAGGCCGCAAGGUGCUGACGAGUGGCGAACGGGUGAGUAAUGCAUCGGAACGCGCCCAGUCGUGGGGGAUAACGCAGCGAAAGCUGCGCUAAUACCGCAUACGAUCUAUGGAUGAAAGCGGGGGACCGUAAGGCCUCGCGCGAUUGGAGCGGCCGAUGUCAGAUUAGGUAGUUGGUGGGGUAAAGGCUCACCAAGCCGACGAUCUGUAGCUGGUCUGAGAGGACGACCAGCCACACUGGGACUGAGACACGGCCCAGACUCCUACGGGAGGCAGCAGUGGGGAAUUUUGGACAAUGGGCGCAAGCCUGAUCCAGCAAUGCCGCGUGCAGGAAGAAGGCCUUCGGGUUGUAAACUGCUUUUGUACGGAACGAAACGGCUCUGGUUAAUACCUGGGGCUAAUGACGGUACCGUAAGAAUAAGCACCGGCUAACUACGUGCCAGCCGCCGCCGUAAGAC
rnacentral:rRNA from 1 species